CCUCAAUUCACGGAACACGCCUUUUUCUGUUUCGAAUAUACUCACUCACGCGAAGCUCGUGGAGCUUUUACUUUUAUUUUGUGUUAAUAAUUGUAGUGUUGUGUUUUUAGUUUUGAAUAUAUUUUGGUUGAAAGAGUUUAACAUGAAGAACCUUAGUCUGAUUACUCUUUUUAUUCUUCUUCUAGUUUGUAUGGCUAAAGGAAGCAUAAGUGUUACCAAGGAGACAAAAGAAGUAACAACACAAAAGAGUGAUGAUAUUAUUCAUGACCAGAAGUAUUGUUGCUAUGACAAUAAUGUGGGUCCUGAAUGUUACGGUUCAGAGAAAGACUGUAAGAAAAAUUGCAAAAGUGAAUGUGAAGGCCUGCUUGGUUGACGAGAUUCCAAUUAGAAAGAAUAAAGUAAAACAAAUUGUUGUCUUACUAUUUAUGUAAUAUUAUCUAAACUGCAAUCUAAUUUAUGUUUAGGGUGUU